AGGAGGGAUAAGACUGAGAAGAAGGAAUGGAAGAGAAAAUCGCUUUGGGUGAAAGGGAAGGGGAGUGAGAAGGGGUCACCUGGUACCCAGAAGACGGGCCAGCCUUCAUGCAGAAGGUAAAUGGAGGGAAACCAUCCCAGAGCAAGCACUAAAGCAGCAAGGAAGAAGUAGCACAGAUUGGCGUUCUCCUCUGUAUGGAUGGAGACAGUGAGUACAAAGGCAGGCUCAGAGUGGAGAAGAGUCUUGUCUGAAGUCACCAAGUGCGUAAGCGGCAAUCAGAGAACCAGAAACCAGGACUCCUCCUGCUCAUCAUGCCACCUUGUAGCUUCCUGGAGCUCCAAAUGCCUGGACCCUGAAAUGGUGUCACAGACUUCUGCUUGUGAUUUGCGGCUGAGACUUGGAGCUCCAGCUUUGGCUUCCAGAAUCUCUGAAUUGACAGGUUCAAAAGCAUCAAUUGUACAAGUGCCAGCUGGAGAAGACCUUGCCUGAAUGCAGUUUGCUGGUAAUGAGAUCCAUCAGAGAUGACAUGAGGACAUGGUCUAUCCUGGUUCGGGUGAACAGGCUGGCUUACUGAGCUAGUGAGCAUCCAAGGUGCGUAGAAAUCUGGGAGAGGGUGCAUAGGAUGAGGUGAAUUAGAGAGUGUUGAAUUUGAAGUGUGAGUGGGUUCUCCAACUGGAAGUAUUUCUUACGGGUUAGGAGCUCAAGAAAGGUGGGGACUAGGUCUGGGGAGUGUUACUAACACACAGUUGGUAGUUAAAGCUGAGAGUCCAAGGAAACUGGGAAAGUAGACCCUCCUUACUGAAAUUGAAGUCUGUAGACCAGCAGCAUUGACAUCACCUAGUUAGACAAGCAGAAUCUUAGUCUCACCAGUCACAAUCUGAAUUUUAAAAACAUCCCCAGGGCAUUUAUGGGC